UUCGGGCUUAGUGGCGCACGGGUGCGUAACGCGUGGGAAUCUGCCCCUUGGUUCGGAAUAACAGUUGGAAACGACUGCUAAUACCGGAUGAUGACGUAAGUCCAAAGAUUUAUCGCCGAGGGAUGAGCCCGCGUAGGAUUAGGUAGUUGGUGUGGUAAAGGCGCACCAAGCCGACGAUCCUUAGCUGGUCUGAGAGGAUGAUCAGCCACACUGGGACUGAGACACGGCCCAGACUCCUACGGGAGGCAGCAGUGGGGAAUAUUGGACAAUGGGCGAAAGCCUGAUCCAGCAAUGCCGCGUGAGUGAUGAAGGCCUUAGGGUUGUAAAGCUCUUUUACCCGGGAUGAUAAUGACAGUACCGGGAGAAUAAGCUCCGGCUAACUCCGUGCCAGCAGCCGCGGUAAUACGGAGGGAGCUAGCGUUAUUCGGAAUUACUGGGCGUAAAGCGCACGUAGGCGGCUUUGUAAGUAAGAGGUGAAAGCCCAGAGCUCAACUCUGGAAUUGCCUUUUAGACUGCAUCGCUUGAAUCAUGGAGAGGUCAGUGGAAUUCCGAGUGUAGAGGUGAAAUUCGUAGAUAUUCGGAAGAACACCAGUGGCGAAGGCGGCUGACUGGACAUGUAUUGACGCUGAG
rnacentral:rRNA from 1 species